rnacentral:lncRNA from 1 species
ACCUGUCUGAGAUGCUGUCACAAGGUUCCUUUAUGGGGUAAGAUACUGGACUAGAUCACCUUGAAGGUUCCAACUUGCUUUAAGACUCUGUGAUUGCAAGUACAUGAAAACCCUUUCCAGGACAGUAGCCCAAUGUCUUCUCUUUAUUUUACACCUCCACUGCACCUGGCAUGUAACUCUACAGAGAACCUGACAUCACUGGCUGCCUAUGUGCCUGGAGAGAUAUUUGAACAUUGGUGCUGACUUGCCAUAUUCUUUUGGAAUCCACUAUCCUCCAUGGAGACAGACACCAUCAAGGACAAGCACCUGGACCAUCUCCUCCCCACAAAGGGAUAUGGGCUGGUGGGAAAGCUGCUGACCAGCAAGGUCACGGGCUCCCUCCUCUCUGCAAGUAGUCUCAAGGCCAAAGACAAGCUGGUGGGAAAGCUCUGACCAGAAAGGCCAUAUGCUCCCGCCUCCCCUACCUAAAACCCCAAAUAAAAACCCUUCCUUUUAGCUUUUCGGGGAGUUUGGGAUUUCAGCGUUAGCUGCCCUCUCUCCUUGCUCAGCGCUGUGCAAAAAAAUAAAAUUCCUACUUUCUUCC